UAAGGAAUAUUGGUCAAUGGACGCAAGUCCGAACCAGCCAUGCCGCGUGCAGGAAGACGGCCCUACGGGUUGUAAACUGCUUUUGUACGGGAAAAAACCUUCGGUCGUGAACCGAAGCUGAUGGUACCGUAAGAAUAAGCAUCGGCUAACUCCGUGCCAGCAGCCGCGGUAAUACGGAGGAUGCAAGCGUUAUCCGGAUUCAUUGGGUUUAAAGGGUGCGCAGGCGGAAUGAUAAGUCAGUGGUGAAAUCCUAGAGCUUAACUCUAGAACUGCCAUUGAUACUGUCGUUCUUGAGUACACUUGAAGUGGGCGGAAUGUGUCAUGUAGCGGUGAAAUGCUUAGAUAUGACAAGGAACACCGAUCGCGAAGGCAGCUCACUAAAGUGCAACUGACGCUCAGGCACGAGAGCGUGGGGAUCAAACAGG
rnacentral:rRNA from 1 species